rnacentral:rRNA from 1 species
GAUGAACGCUGGCGGCGCGCCUAACACAUGCAAGUCGAACGAUUAAAGCACCUUCGGGUGUGUAUAAAGUGGCGAACGGCUGAGUAACACGUGGGCAACCUGCCCCUUUCAUUGGGAUAGCCACGGGAAACCGUGGAUAAUACCGAUUACUUCGAGACUUCCGCAUGGAAGACUCGAGAAAGCUCCGGCGGAGAGGGAUGGGCCCGCGCCCUGUUAGCUUGUUGGUGGGGUAACGGCCUACCAAGGCAAUGAUGGGUAGCUGGGUUGAGAGACCGACCAGCCAGAUUGGGACUGAGACACGGCCCAGACUCCUACGGGAGGCAGCAGUGGGGAAUCUUGCACAAUGGGCGAAAGCCUGAUGCAGCGACGCCGCGUGCGGGAUGAAGGCCUUCGGGUUGUAAACCGCUUCCAGCAGGGACGAGGCGAAAGUGACGGUACCUGCAGAAGAAGCCCCGGCUAACUACGUG